rnacentral:rRNA from 1 species
GACGAACGCUGGCGGCGUGCUUAACACAUGCAAGUCGAACGCACGGCCUUGGGGUUUUCUUGGGGUUGGUGAGUGGCGAACGGGUGAGUAACACGUGAGUAACCUGCCCUCUUCUUUGGGAUAACGGUCGGAAACGGCUGCUAAUACUGGAUAUUCACACAUUGUCGCAUGGUGGUGUGUGGAAAGGGUUUUCUGGUGGGGGAUGGGCUCGCGGCCUAUCAGCUUGUUGGUGGGGUGAUGGCUUACCAAGGCGACGAUGCAUAGCCGAGUUGAGAGACUGAUCGGCCACAUUGGGACUGAGACACGGCCCAA